rnacentral:rRNA from 1 species
GGNGCUCUCCCNUAUGGUCGACCUGCAGGCGGCCGCGAAUUCACUAGUGAUUAGAGUUUGAUCCUGGCUCAGGAUGAACGCUGGCGGCGUGCCUAACACAUGCAAGUCGAACGAAGCAUCUUAUAGGAAGUUUUCGGAUGGAAUAUGGGAUGACUGAGUGGCGGACGGGUGAGUAACGCAUGGAUAACCUGCCUCACACUGGGGGAUAACAGUUAGAAAUGGCUGCUAAUACCGCAUAAGCGCACAGUACCGCAUGGUACGGUGUGAAAAACCCAGGUGGUGUGAGAUGGAUCCGCGUCUGAUUAGCCAGUUGGCGGGGUAACGGCCCACCAAAGCGACGAUCAGUAGCCGACCUGAGAGGGUGACCGGCCACAUUGGGACUGAGACACGGCCCAAACUCCUACGGGAGGCAGCAGUGGGGAAUAUUGCACAAUGGGCGAAAGCCUGAUGCAGCGACGCCGCGUGAGUGAAGAAGUAUCUCGGUAUGUAAAGCUCUAUCAGCAGGGAAGAAAAUGACGGUACCUGACUAAGAAGCCCCGGCUAACUACGUGCCAGCAGCCGCGGUAAUACGUAGGGGGCAAGCGUUAUCCGGAUUUACUGGGUGUAAAGGGAGCGUAGACGGCGAUGCAAGUCUGAAGUGAAAGCCCGGGGCUCAACCCCGGGACUGCUUUGGAAACUGUGUGGCUGGAGUGCAGGAGAGGUAAGUGGAAUUCCUAGUGUAGCGGUGAAAUGCGUAGAUAUUAGGAGGAACACCAGUGGCGAAGGCGGCUUACUGGACUGUAACUGACGUUGAGGCUCGAAAGCGUGGGGAGCAAACAGGAUUAGAUACCCUGGNUAGUCCACGCCGUAAACGAUGAAUGCUAGGGUGUCGGGGGGGCAAAGCCCCUCGGUGCCGCCGCUAACGCAAUAAGCAUUCCACCUGGGGAGUACGUUCGCAAGAAUGAAACUCAAAGGAAUUGACGGGGACC